GUGUUUGUCUCCUGUGUCCCGUCAGUGGUUUUACCCUAUGGUAGGUUACGUCAUGCUGUUCUACCACAGGGUAGAACCACGGACGGGAUGUCUGGAGGUGUCUGC
rnacentral:pre_miRNA from 1 species